UCGCUCUCUCAGCUAAAACCCUCAUUUUCGAUUGUCUACUGAUUCUUCGCAAACCCUAAAACCCUCCGUGAGAAUGUCAAUGUUUCGUCGAGCCUCCUCUAGUUUGGCCACUCUUGCCUUCCGUGCGGUUAGAUCUCCGGUGACUCUCCGAAAUGGCGCCGUCUCCGCCGAGAGAUUGAUUCUUCGUACCCAGCAGCUCAGCCGUGGAUCGGUGUUUUCAUUCUCGAGAUUUUCGACGGAGAGCGCGGUGGCUAAAACAACCGCCGACGAGAAUCUGGUUAGCGUUCUCGAAUCUGAAAUCGAAUGUGCCGUGAACGAGGAGGCGCCUGAUGAAAACGUCAUUGAAGAUGUGCCAGAAGGGUUUCCUUUUGAGAUCGUUGAUACUCCAGGGGAACGAACUCUGUUGCUUCAGAGGAAGUUUGAGGAUGAAACAAUCCAGGUCGAAGUUGACUCUUGUGCGACCUAUGAUGACGAUGAGGAAGAAGCAGAGCAAGCAGAAGCUAACGAUGAUGAGGAUGAUGAGAACUCUGUUAAGCUUCGGAUUCCCAUGGUUGUGAGUGUGGCAAAAGGUGACGGUGUGUGUCUUGAGUUUGGAGUCAGCGCUUACGCCGAUGAGAUUGUGAUUGAUAGUUUAUCGAUUAAACAACCCCAAGGAUCUGAGAAUGAGCUUGCUUACGAAGGACCAGACUUUGAUGACUUGGAUGAGAAUCUGCAGAAGGCGUUCCACAGGUUCUUGGAGAUCAGAGGGAUUAAGCCGAGCUUCACUGGCUUUCUGGCAGAUUAUGUGGCCAACAAAGACAGCAGAGAGUAUCUUCAGUGGCUUAAGGAUGUCAAGUCUUUUGUUGAGAAGUGAAGCUGAUCUUUGUUUCAGAGUAUAAUAAGAGUGAAACUUUUAGGUUGGAUUUUUUUUAGGGCUUAUUGGCCUAAUAGCCAUAUAUCGUGUGUAAAUUAGGUUCCCAGUUAACGGUGAUGAUGUCGCCGGUUUGGAGAGCAGAUACGUAAUCGAUGGAAUAUAUGGUCAAGAAUGUUUAAGAGUUAUUCCAUUUAAAAGAAAAAGAGGAAGCCACGUCAAAAGGGACAGUUACCAAAUGUAUUUUUACUGUAUGCAGUAAAACGAGUGAUGUAAAAUUAAAACCUGUAGCAAAAAAUGGGCUACUUCAUUUACUUACAUAUAUUAAGUCGAAGAAUGCAUU